rnacentral:rRNA from 1 species
UACAGAGGUGCCGAGCGUUAGGCGGAAUCACUGGGCUUAAAGCGUGUGUAGGCGGACUUCUAAGUACCUUGUGAAAUCCCACGGCUCACCCGUGGAACUGCUGGGUAUACUGGUCGUCUUGAGCCACCUAGGGGCCAGCGGAACAAAUGGUGGAGCGGUGAAAUGCGUAGAUAUCGUCUGGAACGCCGAAGGUGAAAACAGCUCGCUGGGGCUGCGCUGACGCUGAGACACGAAAGCCAGGGGAGCGAACGGG